UGCAAGUCGAGCGGAGAUGAGGUGCUUGCACCUUAUCUUAGCGGCGGACGGGUGAGUAAUGCUCAGGAAUCUGCCUAUUAGUGGGGGACAACAUUCCGAAAGGGAUGCUAAUACCGCAUACGUCCUACGGGAGAAAGCAGGGGAUCUUCGGACCUUGCGCUAAUAGAUGAGCCUAAGUCGGAUUAGCUAGUUGGUGGGGUAAAGGCCUACCAAGGCGACGAUCUGUAGCGGGUCUGAGAGGAUGAUCCGCCACACUGGGACUGAGACACGGCCCAGACUCCUACGGGAGGCAGCAGUGGGGAAUAUUGGACAAUGGGGGGAACCCUGAUCCAGCCAUGCCGCGUGUGUGAAGAAGGCCUUAUGGUUGUAAAGCACUUUAAGCAGGAGGAGGCUACUGAGACUAAUACUCUUGGAUAGUGGACGUUACUCGCAGAAUAAGCACCGGCUAACUCUGUGCCAGCAGCCGUGGUAAUACAGAGGGUGCGAGCGUUAAUCGGAUUUACUGGGCGUAAAGCGUGCGUAGGCGGCUUUUUAAGUCGGAUGUGAAAUCCCCGAGCUUAACUUGGGAAUUGCAUUCGAUACUGGGAAGCUAGAGUAUGGGAGAGGAUGGUAGAAUUCCAGGUGUAGCGGUGAAAUGCGUAGAGAUCUGGAGGAAUACCGAUGGCGAAGGCAGCCAUCUGGCCUAAUACUGACGCUGAGGUACGAAAGCAUGGGGAGCAAACAGGAUUAGAUACCCUGGUAGUCCAUGCCGUAAACGAUGUCUACUAGCCGUUGGGGCCUUUGAGGCUUUAGUGGCGCAGCUAACGCGAUAAGUAGACCGCCUGGGGAGUACGGUCGCAAGACUAAAACUCAAAUGAAUUGACGGGGGCCCGCACAAGCGGUGGAGCAUGUGGUUUAAUUCGAUGCAACGCGAAGAACCUUACCUGGCCUUGAC
rnacentral:rRNA from 1 species